rnacentral:rRNA from 1 species
AACGAACGCUGGCGGCAGGCCUAACACAUGCAAGUCGAGCGCUCUCUUCGGAGGGAGCGGCGGACGGGUUAGUAACGCGUGGGAAUGUGCCUCUGGGUGCGGAACAACCGUUGGAAACGACGGCUAAUACCGCAUGACGUCUACGGACCAAAGAUUUAUCGCCCAGAGAUCAGCCCGCGUCUGAUUAGCUAGUUGGGGGGUAACGCCCACCAAGGCGACGAUCAGUAGCUGGUUUGAGAGGAUGAUCAGCAACACUGGGACUGAGACACGGCCCAGACUCCUACGGGAGGCAGCAGUGGGGAAUCUUGGACAAUGGGCGCAAGCCUGAUCCAGCCAUGCCGCGUGAGCGAUGAAGGCCUUAGGGUUGUAAAGCUCUUUCACCGGUGAAGAUAAUGACGGUAGCCGGAGAAGAAGCCCCGGCUAACUCCGUGCCAGCCGCCGCGGUAAU